AAUUGCUCUUAUCGAAAAGGAUACCAAGUUCAUUCUAAGGCUGUAACUUAAUUUAAACUCAAGUUUUUACCAAUAAAAGGCAGAUCUCAUUUGGUAAUUCAAUCUCUUUAAGAGUUUAUUUGGUUUUAUUUCGAUGUUAUGAAGCACAAUUAUAUUGAAGGCCCUCCAGAUUUGCACAACUCCAUAUAUUUUUGUAUAAUGUUCUGCUGUAUUCGUCAUGCUAUAAAUCAAACAAAUGCCAGCUUUGAGAUGGAUACUUCUCUACUGCGUAAAUGUUACCAAACAAUGUUUGUGCCUUAGAAAUUCUUGUUGCUUUUUUGUACCUGGCAGCCAUUUGUGUGUUGCUCUUAUGAUUUUUGUCAUUGGACAAACCAAUAUUUUUGUACCUUAGGCGAAUCUUUUGUCACUUUCCGAACUUACCAAGCUUCUAAAUAUACAGACAGCCAUUUGCUCAGUCAAAAAACAAAGAAAAAAAUUUUGUGUUUGAGAAUGUGUCUAUACCAGCAACGAGCACAAAAUACAAUUAUUUGGAAGCCCAUGGGCCUGCUUGGGAUUACACAGUAAUGUGCAAUAGUGAGAGGCACAAGAGAAAAUUAUUGAUCCGGUACACGAAUAAUUUUAUGCCACUUUUGUAAUAAAAUUUUUUUUUGAUAUUAUAAGAAAAGAUAGGUCCUUUUACCGAAGACGAAUAUGUUAAAGGGUUAACAAAAAACAAAGUUAGUUACGUUCAAUAAUACUAAAUUUAUGGCUAACUCUUAACAUGUUGAAGCAAAACGUUACACGGUUGCAAUAAAAGAAAACCCUCGUGAUAAAAGUAUUUUGUUUGUCGGAAAAAUAGCCCAAACAUUAAAUUUUUGCAUGUACAUUCUGCUUAUAUGAUGUCGGUAAGUUCUCCUCCGAACUUUAUAAAAAUCGUUUGAAGAUCUAUUUUCGAAAGGA